rnacentral:ncRNA from 1 species
AAAGAAAUCGUUAAGGGCGUAUGGCGGAUGCCUAGGCUUUCAGAGGCGAAGAAGGACGCGGUAAGCUGCGAAAAGCUGCGGGGAUCGGCACACACGAAUUGAUCCGCAGAUGUCCGAAUGGGGCAACCCGGCAUGUUGAAGACAUGUCACUCCGCAAGGAGAGCAAACCCGGAGAACUGAAACAUCUAAGUACCCGGAGGAAAAGAAAUCGAAGAGAUUCCGUAAGUAGUGGCGAGCGAACGCGGAUUAGCCCAAAAG